CGCGCAGCGAGAGGUGCUUGCACCUUUCAAGCGAGUGGCGAACGGGUGAGUAACACGUGGAUAACCUGCCUCAAGGUUGGGGAUAACAUUUGGAAACAGAUGCUAAUACCGAAUAAAACUUAGUAUCGCAUGAUAUCAAGUUAAAAGGCGCUACGGCGUCACCUAGAGAUGGAUCCGCGGUGCAUUAGUUAGUUGGUGGGGUAAAGGCUUACCAAGACGAUGAUGCAUAGCCGAGUUGAGAGACUGAUCGGCCACAUUGGGACUGAGACACGGCCCAAACUCCUACGGGAGGCUGCAGUAGGGAAUCUUCCACAAUGGGCGCAAGCCUGAUGGAGCAACGCCGCGUGUGUGAUGAAGGCUUUCGGGUCGUAAAGCACUGUUGUAUGGGAAGAAAUGCUAAAAUAGGGAAUGAUUUUAGUUUGACGGUACCAUACCAGAAAGGGACGGCUAAAUACGUGCCAGCAGCCGCGGUAAUACGUAUGUCCCGAGCGUUAUCCGGAUUUAUUGGGCGUAAAGCGAGCGCAGACGGUUGAUUAAGUCUGAUGUGAAAGCCCGGAGCUCAACUCCGGAAUGGCAUUGGAAACUGGUUAACUUGAGUGUUGUAGAGGUAAGUGGAACUCCAUGUGUAGCGGUGGAAUGCGUAGAUAUAUGGAAGAACACCAGUGGCGAAGGCGGCUUACUGGACAACAACUGACGUUGAGGCUCGAAAGUGUGGGUAGCAAACAGGAUUAGAUACCCUGGUAGUCCACACCGU
rnacentral:rRNA from 1 species